GACGAACGCUGGCGGCGUGCUUAACACAUGCAAGUCGAACGGUGAAGCUCCAAGCUUGCUUGGGGUGGAUCAGUGGCGAACGGGUGAGUAACACGUGAGUAACCUGCCCCGGACUCUGGAAUAAGCGCUGGAAACGGCGUCUAAUACUGGAUAUGACAUCAAGCCGCAUGGUUAUGGUGUGGAAAGUUUUUCGGUCCGGGAUGGGCUCGCGGCCUAUCAGCUUGUUGGUGAGGUAAUGGCUCACCAAGGCGACGACGGGUAGCCGGCCUGGGAGGGCGACCGGCCACACUGGGACUGAGACACGGCCCAGACUCCUACGGGAGGCAGCAGUGGGGAAUAUUGCACAAUGGGCGAAAGCCUGAUGCAGCGACGCCGCGUGAGGGAUGACGGCCUUCGGGUUGUAAACCUCUUUCAGCAGGGAAGAAGCGAAAGUGACGGUACCUGCAGAAGAAGCACCGGCUAACUACGUGCCAGCCGCCGCCGUAACAC
rnacentral:rRNA from 1 species